GAUGAACGCUAGCGGCAGGCUUAAUACAUGCAAGUCGAGGGGCAGCACGGUUAGCAAUAACUGGUGGCGACCGGCGCACGGGUGCGUAACACGUAUACAAUCUACCUUAAACAGGGGGAUAGCCUUUCGAAAGAGAGAUUAAUACCCCGUAAUAAAUUGAACGGCAUCGUUUGAUUUUGAAAGCUCCGGCGGUUUGAGAUGAGUAUGCGUCUGAUUAGCUAGUUGGUGAGGUAACGGCUCACCAAGGCGACGAUCAGUAGGGGAUCUGAGAGGACUAACCCCCACACUGGUACUGAGACACGGACCAGACUCCUACGGGAGGCAGCAGUAAGGAAUAUUGGUCAAUGGAGGCAACUCUGAACCAGCCAUGCCGCGUGCAGGAUGACGGCCCUAUGGGUUGUAAACUGCUUUUAUACAAGAGAAAACCCUGGUACGUGUACCAGGUUGAUAGUAUUGUAAGAAUAAGCAUCGGCUAACUUCGU
rnacentral:rRNA from 1 species